rnacentral:rRNA from 1 species
AUGUAUGACCAUACUACCAUGAACACACCUGAUCUCAUCUGAUCUCGGAAGCUAAGCAGGGUUGGGCCUGGUUAGUACUUGGGUGGGAGAACAAUUUUAAGUCUCCUGAUCUAUGAACAUG